rnacentral:lncRNA from 1 species
CCUGUCCAGAGAGGACACUCACGUCCUCACCAGGGAGGGAGAGGGCGACUGGCUGGGGAGACUGGAUUUUCCCAGGAGCAGCUUUGCCAAAGGCAGGGGCUCCCUUGUACCCACAGAGCCAACAGCCCUUCCAACCCCCAGCCCCACCAACACCUUUAAUGCUGUCCACGGUUCCCUUCUCCUCUGCUCUGCGGCACUCGAAGCCUGUCCUUGCCUUGCUGGCCACCUGGGGCCACCCCUUCCCCCACAGCCACGGGUAUAAAACUAUAUUCAUUCUGUGAAACCUGGGAUUAAGUCUUCACGCAAACAUUGGCUGUAACAAUUGAAAAGUGACUUCACCAAGGACUGAUGUGCAGGCCCCAGUCUGCCUACAGAUCUGUCACAGUGGAACACUGCUCAGCGCUUCAUCCUUCACAAUAAAUGGCCAGACUUGGUCAAGAUAACCACGCUGGUGGAGACCAGGCAACUGCAAGGUGGGAGCCACGGAGAGAACACUCCAGAAAACAGGCUGGCUUGUCAUCUCCGGGAAGAAGCCGUCCUGCUUGGUGUCCCGAAAGGCCCAAGUGUGAGCUGGAGGGCUUUCAAGCAAGCCUGGGAUUCUUUUCACAAGUUAGAGGUUCUCCAUUUGCGAGCACCUGCCCCCGGCUAUGCGCCGGGAGUCUCCAAGGACACCCCCUGGGACAGCACACGAGUCCAGGAGGACAACCCAGCCAGGGCUGCGGGGCGCAGCUGCCCACGCGAGGGGCCUCCGGCCAGCCAGGAGCCGCCUCCCAGGCCCAGCUGCAGGGCUGGGUUUCCUGCAGAGCGCGAUUCUGGAGCCGGGCCGCUAAGCCCGUGACGCGUGUUUAUGGUUCUCACUGCCCCCGGGGACAGCUGCAGGCCUCUCCGCCCGGCCAGGGCCUGGUCAAGGGCUGCUGGAGCUGGAAACCCUGGCAGCUGCUAAUCCCCUAA